rnacentral:rRNA from 1 species
CGAACGCUGGCGGCGUGCUUAACACAUGCAAGUCGAGCGGUGAACCUCUUCGGAGGGGAUCAGCGGCGAACGGGUGAGUAACACGUGGGCAACCUGCCCCAGACACCGGGAUAACCCAGGGAAACCUGAGCUAAUACCGGAUACUCCGCGCGGAUCGCAUGAUCCGUUCGGGAAAGCUCCGACGGUCUGGGAUGGGCCCGCGGCCUAUCAGCUUGUUGGUGGGGUAACGGCCUACCAAGGCGACGACGGGUAGCUGGUCUGAGAGGACGACCAGCCACACUGGGACUGAGACACGGCCCAGACUCCUACGGGAGGCAGCAGUGGGGAAUAUUGCGCUAAUGCGGGAAACCGUGACGCAGCGACGCCGCGUGGGGGACGAAGGCCCUCGGGUCGUAAACCCCUUUCGCCAGGGACGAAACUGACGGUACCUGGAGAAGAAGUCCCGGCUAACUACGUGCCAGCAG